rnacentral:rRNA from 1 species
UACGUAGGGAGCGAGCGUUGUCCGGAUUCAUUGGGCGUAAAGAGCUCGUAGGCGGCUUGGUAAGUCGGAUGUGAAACCUCCAGGCUCAACCUGGAGUCGCCAUCCGAUACUGCCAUGGCUAGAGUCCGGUAGGGGCCCACGGAAUUCCUGGUGUAGCGGUGAAAUGCGCAGAUAUCUGGAAGAACACCAAAGGCGAAGGCAGUGUCCUGGGUGGUCGCUGACGCUGAGAGGCGAAAGCCAGGGGAGCGAACGGG